GUCAAGUCAUCAUGCCCCUUAUGUCCAGGGCUACACACGUGCUACAUUGGCGCGUACAGAGGGCUGCGAUACCGCGAGGUGGAGCGAAUCCCUUAAAGCGCGUCUCGGUUCGGAUUGCAGGCUGAAACUCGCCUGCAUGAAGGCGGAGUUGCUAGUAAUCGCGGAUCAGCAUUGCCGCGGUGAAUACGUUCCCGGGCCUU
rnacentral:rRNA from 1 species